rfam:Populus trichocarpa isolate Nisqually-1 chromosome 6, whole genome shotgun sequence.
UAAUAUGUCUGGGACAGAUCCUCAUCUAAUUAUAGUAGACUCACACCUAACUGCUCAAAAUCACCUGUUAUCACUAGCCCGACUACAUCCGAUUGCUUCUGCAACUAAUUUUCUUCUUCUCCUAUGAUUUA